AGCUGUUUUGGGACUACAAUUCCCAUCACCCCUGACCACUGGUUCUGUUGGUUAGGAAUGAUGGGAGCUGUAGUCCCAAAACAGUU